GAGUGUGUCCUUUUUAUUGUGUUACAGGUUGCAGAGAGAGCACUGUAUUAUUGGAACAAUGAAUACAUAAUGUCUCUAAUUAGUGAUAAUGCUGCAGACAUCCUUCCCAUUAUGUUUCCGUCACUUUACCGUAACUCUAAAUCGCACUGGAAUAAAACAAUACAUGGGUUAAUUUACAAUGCCUUGAAACUCUUUAUGGAGAUGAACCAGAAACUCUUUGAUGAAUGCACACAGCAAUACAAGCAGGAGAGACAAAA